rnacentral:rRNA from 1 species
UUUUAUUUACAUGUCUGCUUGUUUCAUGCCCAAUGUCUGAUCUUGGAAGCUAAGCAGGGUCGGGCCUGGUUAGUACUUGGAUGGGAGACCACCUAGGAAGACCAGGUGCUGUAGGCA